CUAUACGGCCAUACCACCCUGAACUGAACGCGCCCGAUCUCGUCUGAUCUCAGAAGCUAAGCAGGUUCGGGCCUGGUUAGUACUUGGAUGGAAGAAAUUAUUUUUUACUAAUACACAUACAUAAUGUGCUGGACACU
rnacentral:rRNA from 1 species